AACGCACCUUGCGCCCCUUGGUAUUCCGAGGGGCACACCCGUUUGAGUGUCGUGAAAACCUCAACCUCCUUGGUUUCUUCUGGAGACCAAAGGCAGGCUUGGACUUUGGAGGCCCUUGCUGGAACCUCUCUCUUUUGAAGGCCAGCUCCUCUUAAACGAAUUAGCAGGGUCCUCUUUGCCGAUCCUCGACGUGUGAUAAGAUGUUUCCAUGUCUUGGUUUCUGGCUCUGUCACUUUUGGGACCCGCUUCUAACCGUCUUGACCUUGCAUCGAGACAAUGUUCGAGCAUGUCUCCCUUCUCGGGAAGCUCCCUCGACCCCACGAACCCUUGACCUCAAAUCGGGUGAGACUACCCGCUGAACUUAA
rnacentral:misc_RNA from 1 species